CAGACCUCUAAUCGGAAAAGACCACCCG
rnacentral:rRNA from 1 species